GAUGAACGCUGGCGGCAUGCUUAAUACAUGCAAGUCGGACGGGCAGUGGUGUUUCCAGUUGCGGACGGGUGAGUAACGCGUAAGAACGUGACCUUGGGAUGGGCACCACAGCUGGAAACGGUUGCUAAUACACCGUAGGCCGAGGAGCAAAAGGCGGAAUCCGCCCGAGGAGGGGUUUGGGUCUGACUAGCUGGCUGGUGAGGCAAUAGCUGACCAAGGCGCUGAUCCGUAGCUGGUGCGAGAGGAUGAUCGGCCACACUGGGACUGAGACAAGGCGCAGAGACUUUCGCGAGGCGGCAGUAGGGAAGUUGCCGCAAUGCGGGAAAGGUUGACAGGGCCAUGGCACCGUGAAAUACAAUGCCCAGGGAUGGUGAACUGCUUAACCCGGAGAACACGCAAUGACGGUACCUAAGGAGUAAGCAACGGCUAACUCUGUG
rnacentral:rRNA from 1 species